rnacentral:rRNA from 1 species
UACGUAGGGGGCAAGCGUUGUCCGGAAUUAUUGGGCGUAAAGAGCGUGUAGGCGGUCCGGUAAGUCAGCUGUGAAAGUCAAGGGCUCAACCCUUGAAUGCCGGUUGAUACUGUCGGGCUAGAGUCCGGAAGAGGCGAGUGGAAUUCCCGGUGUAGCGGUGAAAUUCGUAGAUAUCGGGAGGAACACCAGUGGCGAAGGCGGCGAUCUGGGAAGAUACUGACGCUGAGGUGCGAAAGCGUGGGGAGCAAACAGG